rnacentral:lncRNA from 1 species
UUAUGUCUACUUCCUGCCCCCCCAGAUGUUCCCAAUCUGUUCGUUAGUGUCUCCACCAGUGUCUCGUUACCCCGCCCACUUCCUGGUGUAUAUAGUCUGUGUGUUUUGUUCCCCUCAUUGCCAGUUCGUCUGUGUACCUUCGUGUCGUAGAGUUCCAGCGUUGUUCCGUGUGUAUCCUGUUCCUGUUUCCUGCCUUCGACUUCCCGGUUUCCUUAAUUCCGUGACCUGACUCUGCCUUUGCCUACUCCCUGCCUGUUUUAUUUGCUACCCGACUGCCUUCCUGUGUACCAAACCCGGUUUUUGCUUCUAAGCGCAGCUUGGCGUUAUGGAAGCGCAGAGAGGAUGUGUUCGUGACUACGUUGAAAUCCAGACCAAGAUUGUGCAGGGCCCAAAUAUCUAUCGAGACCAGAGGCAGCCGAAAUCUGUCCCACCCCAGCAAUCUGUCAAUGACUCCCUAGCCGCCAGGAUCAUCCGCCCCUCUUCACCUAUCACUUGGUGCGGAUCUGAGAUGGUGAUGAGUGGAAGACAGCUUUCAACAACACCUCAGAACACUAGGAAUAUUUGGUGAGGUCUUCUUCCUCACCAACGCCCGGCUGUGUUUCAGGCCUUGGUCAACGAUGUGCUAAGGGACAAAACUAAAGAGGAGCAUUUGCAUCGUGUCCAGUCGGUCCUUCAGUGCCUCCUGGAGAACUCUUUGUUGGUCAAGACUGAAAA